UUAGACCUCAAAUCAGUCAGGCCUACCCGCUGA
rnacentral:rRNA from 1 species